rnacentral:lncRNA from 1 species
AUCAAAGACAAUAAGAGCAAAAGACGUGAAUUUGGAACAAGUGGCCAUGAAAGUAUAGUUGACGACUUGUCUGAUAAGUUGUCAAAUUUGUGAUAAGUUAUCAGAGUCAUCGUCAGCUAUAGACAGUGUGAGAAGGUUGGAGUAGAAGUGUGACGACAUCUCUGACAAGUCGUCACAAUUCAGAUAAGCCGUCGAGAAUGCCGUCAGCCUAAGGCAGUACAUGAGAUUUGAAG